GAUCAAAGUUGGAUCAAGAAAGAGUCAGUUGGCUUUGAUACAGACAAACACAAUAAUAGACAAGCUGAAGGAGCUGAAACCAGAUCAUGAUUUUGAAAUAAUUACCAUGGCAACUACUGGUGACAAGAUUUUGGAUUCUGCUUUGUCAAAGAUUGGAGCAAAAGAUCUGUUCACAAGAGAGCUAGAGUUGGCAUUGGAAAAAGGGGAGGUUGAUUUCGUUGUCCAUUCUCUGAAAGAUCUACCUACAAGAAUUGCAGAAAACUUAGUUAUUGGUUGUGUAUAUAAGUAAGUAUGCAAUAGAAUAUUUUAGUUUUUCUCCUUUUUUUUUUUUCCACAUAUAUCAUAUAAAUUAUUCCAAAAUUUUUUUUUCUGAAUGACCAUGUAAAUGUAAUUAGUGGCAAAUAUUUAAUGCCAUAGUUUCCCAGGAUUGUAAGCUCUUUUAUCUAUGACUUGUUUUUUUACUUUUAAAAUGAAUGUAGUAAAAAUUCCUUUCUACCUUACCAAAAUACAUAAAGUCAU